rnacentral:sRNA from 1 species
UUUUUGUUUUGUUUAGUGUUUAAGAUAAUAUAAUUGUAUUUUGAUUGUUAUAUCUACGAUCUCACCCGUCGUAUAUACCGUCUCGUAUUACUAUCGACACAAACUCGUCGUACCAUCUAAUCUCGUUCAGUGAUCUAAUGGAUUUCACCCGUGGUAUACCGUCUCGUAUUACUAUCAACCCAAACCCGUCUUACCAUCUAACUCCGUUCAGUGAAAUUAAACGGUGUUUUGUUAUUUGUUUUAAUAAUAUUUGAAUUUAAAAGAUGUAUAGUUCAAAUCAAAU